ensembl:lncRNA
AUGCCUCGUAAAGGAAUGGGGGUCACUCGUCGGGUUCCCAUGGUUAUAUGGAGUCAUCAAGCUUUGUGGGAAUUCCAUGGCUGCAGAUGCAGAGAACUUUGGCUCUCACCUCAUCUUUACGCAGGUCACUCUCUGGACUGGCGCUAUUAUGAAGCAGGCUCUAUCAAGCUGAUGUAUAUGGUCAUCUUUCAAUUGAGUUCUAGCUUCUCGCAGGCUUCCGUCAGGCCUUUGUCUCUGCGGCUGGUUCAGCUCAAUGUAGUCACGUUUAGAAGCUGCGGUCUGUCACCGCUUCUGUACACUGGUCACUAAUGCUGUUGAACUCGGAGUACAAACAUCAGAUAUGAAGCUACUGGGAAGAUGGUCAUCCUCCGCAUUGGAAUUCCACAUUAGACCUGAAAUACUAAACAUCUUAAGGUAUAUCAAGCUGUCCUCAAGGUAAUCUAUAUGCAAAUAAUGGUGGUGGUACAAUUCCUCUUCAUAUUACUCCCAACAACCUCUGAUUACUGUGGCUUAACUUGUUCUUUCUUUUUGUGGCCCGUCUUUCGUAGCCUUCCCCUCUGUUACCCAUCUCGUGGUGUUCCCACCGUGGUCUAAUUACAUGGCCUUCCUCUCUGUGCAUACUGCAUUUCACUUCAUUCUACGGCCUCUUGGCUUUCUCACUAUGGUCAAUUUGGACAUCCUCCUCUGCGGGCUAGCUAGGCCUUUUCUCUGAGGCCUUCGUGGCUUUCUUUUUGUGGCCCGCCGGGGCCGUUCCCACUGUGGCCCGCCGGGGCCGUUCCCACUGUCCGGCCUAUCGUGGCCUGUCUCUCUGCCUCACUGUCCGGCCUAUCGUGGCCUGUCUCUCUGCCUCACUGUCCGGCCUAUCGUGGCCUGUCUCUCUGCCUCACUGUCCGGCCUAUCGUGGCCUGUCUCUCUGCCUCACUGUCCGGCCUAUCGUGGCCUGUCUCUCUGCCUCACUGUCCGGCCUAUCGUGGCCUGUCUCUCUGCCUCACUGUCCGGCCUAUCGUGGCCUGUCUCUCUGCCUCACUGUCCGGCCUAUCGUGGCCUGUCUCUCUGCCUCACUGUCCGGCCUAUCGUGGCCUGUCUCUCUGCCUCACUGUCCGGCCUAUCGUGGCCUGUCUCUCUGCCUCACUGUCCGGCCUAUCGUGGCCUCUCUCAAAGGCUCUGUGGUCUAUCUUCAUUGCCAUAUAAGCUAAUACUUUAGCUAUAAUCUGAUGUUGUAUUUUUAUGUCUGGCUAAUUAUCUCAAUUUAUCUCUUUCGUUCAUGUUCCAGGAUCCUCUAAGAAAUACUUCAUCUGGUGCGUAUUACAUUCUUCUUUCUUUUGGGGUAGGCUCCGCCCUGCCUUCGUCUUCGGCAGGAUUAGCUGGUAUCUCCAAACUUCAGAUCCACGCUACGGAUGGGGCCUACGCCAAAAUAAUUAUAUUUUUUGUGUUGUAAAUAAAUACUUCAGUCUUAUCUCUACCUCCCUGAGUCUUUCUGGUAGAACUGUUAGGCGGAACCGGAACUGGAAAAUUUCUAACGAUUCCCAACUCUAGAUUUGAGCAAGUUUCUCACAUUUUACUUGCAUGCUGCCAAAUAUCCUAUUCUUAACAAGUAUUUUUGCACAAUUUGGCAGUAAAAAUCCUUUAAACAAGAUACAUUUACUUGCAUUUAAGAGCAACACUGCAUAAGAUAUUAAGACUUAUUUUCAAUGAUUUUAUCUUUAAUAGUAGUGUUUAUAUUAUUUCACUUGUUUAAGAACAAAAAAAUAAGUUAAGGCAGGGAGACAAAACAAAUGUUGAUUACUGUUUUUGUUUUGUUAUUAUCAUUAUUACAUAAAGUUAUAGUACAUUUUCAUAAUACUUCUCAUUCCAAAUGAUCCCAAGUUAUGUUGUUUAGGAUUAUAUCCCUUGUAAUCCCUAGUCAACCACCCAUUUUAUUCAAGCUGUACUAUCUGAUUAACUUUACAGAUCGUGAUUUAAUCAAAUAUGACCAGAACUACAUUGCCAGAUGGCCACAUGACCAAAGCUAUAAUGCUAUUCUGAGAAGCCCAUUUAAUCCACACUUUUCACUACACAGCCCGAAAGCGGAAAAAAAUUAAUAAAUAAAAAUAAAACGCCUACAUUUACAUUUCAAAUAAUUACAAUAGUUACGGUAACUUAAUUGUGAAUCAGACCACAAGCAAACACAUUUUCCUUUGAACCCUUUCUGCACAAUGGUUCAAAGCUGCAGAAUUCAGGUUAAAUCUCUCAGCUUUGACUAAAAGCACAGUCAUGAAGCAUCACAGCCAGACAAGAAAAAGCAGGGAGAAAUGAUUGUUGCUGAAAACGUGGCUGCUUCAAUGUUUUUUUUUCUUCGCUCACUGUGAAUGUGAUGCUAGAUAAAGCUGAGCUGAAUAAUCGCUCAGAAUUGAGCACUAUUAAAACUCUUUGUAAAAAGAUGAGACCAAACUUACUUUUAUAUGAGUGCUGAGGUUCAGGUACAGCACAUACUUGGAAAAGCCCCUCUACUCUAUUCUGUCUCACUCUCUCUGUUCUCUAUCUUUGUCUUCCCCUGUCAUUUGGAUUUUCUUUCUCUCCCUCUAAAACUGCACAUCCUGUAACGCCUAGACACAGCUAUGAGGAUUCAAACUUAAAAAUUUAGGAAUUCGUCUCACAGCUUCCUUUGAUUCAACCCUUAAUAUUGCACAUUUCCUCACACUGAGGUUGCUGCACAAAAGCCUGAAGUUUGUUUUUCACCACUUUAUAACUUUAUAAUAUUAAAAUAAUUAUUAUGCUCUUAAAGGGGAAAAAUAUAUAUUUGUAGCAGAAUAUGCAGUUGCCUCAGUAUUUGGACACGUAAUUUAAAUAUAUCAAACAUCUGCAAACAACUGAUCAGAACAAACUUCACUUCUCUUAGGCACAUAAGUAUUCAAUCAUUUUUAAUCAAAUGGUUUCACAUUAAACAUCAACUUAGAUCAUCAUGUCCCACUACUCACAACAACAAAGCGUCCAAACAGGUUGUGUCCUAAUUUUUAUAUAUAUAUAUAUAUAUAUAUAUAUAUAUAUAUAUAUAUAUUGUGUGUGUGUGUGUGUGUGUGAAAUGUUGCCCUAGAAAGUGUCCAUCAUACCAUCCAGCUGAAAUAACAUCUUAAACCAGCCUAAAGCUGUUUUGCUGAUCUUAGCUAGUUAAAGCUGGUCUCCCAAAUUGGUCCUCAAGCUGGUAUCCCAGUCUGAGCAGAAAAAAUACCCAAAAUCCC